CCUACGGGAGGCAGCAGUGGGGAAUUUUGGACAAUGGGCGCAAGCCUGAUCCAGCCAUGCCGCGUGCAGGAUGAAGGCCUUCGGGUUGUAAACUGCUUUUGUACGGAACGAAAAGACUCUGGUUAAUACCUGGGGUCCAUGACGGUACCGUAAGAAUAAGCACCGGCUAACUACGUGCCAGCAGCCGCGGUAAUACGUAGGGUGCGAGCGUUAAUCGGAAUUACUGGGCGUAAAGCGUGCGCAGGCGGUUAUAUAAGACAGAUGUGAAAUCCCCGGGCUCAACCUGGGAACUGCAUUUGUGACUGUAUAGCUAGAGUACGGCAGAGGGGGAUGGAAUUCCGCGUGUAGCAGUGAAAUGCGUAGAUAUGCGGAGGAACACCGAUGGCGAAGGCAAUCCCCUGGGCCUGUACUGACGCUCAUGCACGAAAGCGUGGGGAGCAAACAGGAUUAGAUACCCUGGUAGUCCACGCCCUAAACGAUGUCAACUGGUUGUUGGGUCUUCACUGACUCAGUAACGAAGCUAACGCGUGAAGUUGACCGCCUGGGGAGUCGGCCGCAAGGUUGAAACUCGAAAGGAAUUGACGG
rnacentral:rRNA from 1 species